UACGGAAGGCAGCAGGGGGAAGUAUUGCACAAUGGGCGCAAGCCUGAUGCAGCCAUGCCGCGUGUAUGAAGAAGGCCUUCGGGUUGUAAAGUACUUUCAGUCGUGAGGAAGGUGUUAAGGUUAAUAACCUUAGCAAUUAGACGUUAGCGACAGAAGAAGCACCGGCUAACUCCGUGCCAGCAGCCGCGGUAAUACGGAGGGUGCGAGCGUUAAUCGGAAUUACUGGGCGUAAAGGGCACGCAGGCGGUUAAUUAAGUUGGAUGUGAAAUCCCCGGGCUUAACCUGGGAAUGGCAUUCAAGACUGGUUAGCUAGAGUCUUGUAGAGGGGGUAGAAUUCCAUGUGUAGCGGUGAAAUGCGUAGAGAUGUGGAGGAAUACCGGUGGCGAAAGGCGGCCCCUGGACAAAGACUGACGCUCAUGUGCGAAAGCGUGGGGAGCAAACAGGGAUUAGAUACC
rnacentral:rRNA from 1 species